rnacentral:rRNA from 1 species
UACGUAGGGGGCAAGCGUUGUCCGGAUUUAUUGGGCGUAAAGAGCGUGUAGGCGGCCAUACAGGUCAGCUGUGAAAACUCGAGGCUCAACCUCGAGACGUCGGUUGAAACCGUAUGGCUAGAGUCCGGAAGAGGAGAGUGGAAUUCCCGGUGUAGCGGUGAAAUGCGUAGAUAUCGAAGGAGGAACCACCUGUGGCGAAAGCGGCGUCACUGGACCAUACUGACGCUGAUGACACGAAAGGCUAGGGGAGCAAACAGG